rnacentral:rRNA from 1 species
GUGCCUAAUACAUGCAAGUCGAGCGAACGGACGAGAAGCCUGCUUCUCUGAUGUUAGCGGCGGACGGGUGAGUAACACGUGGAUAACCUACCUAUAAGACUGGGAUAACUUCGGGAAACCGGAGCUAAUACCGGAUAAUAUUUUGAACCGCAUGGUUCAAAAGUGAAAGACGGUCUUGCUGUCACUUAUAGAUGGAUCCGCGCUGCAUUAGCUAGUUGGUAAGGUAACGGCUUACCAAGGCAACGAUGCAUAGCCGACCUGAGAGGGUGAUCGGCCACACUGGAACUGAGACACGGUCCAGACUCCUACGGGAGGCAGCAGUAGGGAAUCUUCCGCAAUGGGCGAAAGCCUGACGGAGCAACGCCGCGUGAGUGAUGAAGGUCUUCGGAUCGUAAAACUCUGUUAUUAGGGAAGAACAUAUGUGUAAGUAACUGUGCACAUCUUGACGGUACCUAAUCAGAAAGCCACGGCUAACUACGUGCCAGCAGCCGCGGUAAUACGUAGGUGGCAAGCGUUAUCCGGAAUUAUUGGGCGUAAAGCGCGCGUAGGCGGCUUUUUAAGUCUGAUGUGAAAGCCCACGGCUCAACCGUGGAGGGUCAUUGGAAACUGGAAAACUUGAGUGCAGAAGAGGAAAGUGGAAUUCCAUGUGUAGCGGUGAAAUGCGCAGAGAUAUGGAGGAACACCAGUGGCGAAGGCGACU